UACGGAGGGGGCUAGCGUUAUUCGGAAUUACUGGGCGUAAAGCGCACGUAGGCGGACUGGAAAGUCAGGGGUGAAAUCCCGGGGCUCAACCCCGGAACUGCCUUUGAAACUCCCAGUCUUGAGGUCGAGAGAGGUGAGUGGAAUUCCGAGUGUAGAGGUGAAAUUCGUAGAUAUUCGGAGGAACACCAGUGGCGAAGGCGGCUCACUGGCUCGAUACUGACGCUGAGGUGCGAAAGAGUGGGGAGCAAACAGGAUUAGAUACCCUGGUAGUCCCUGAG
rnacentral:rRNA from 1 species